CCGGAGGUGGCAGAGCGGUCGAAUGCGGCAGACUUAAAAUCUGCUGUACGUGUAAACGUACCGUGGGUUCGAAUCCCAUCCUCUCCGCAA
rnacentral:tRNA from 1 species